GNAUCUNAGUUCCAGACGGCNGUCCGCUAACGGUGGUUACUGCCUGGCCURAACAGCCAGCCGGUUUCCCUAGAUGAUCUUCACCGGUUGUCCUGGGUGACCGGCACGUUUACUUUGAAANNAUUAGAGUGCUCAAAGCAGGCG
rnacentral:rRNA from 1 species